GACAGAAGACAGAAAAUGCAAACAAAUCUUUAGGUAAACGAAAAACAUGUUUCCCUCUAUGUCAUUAACCUGAAAGUCCAUCCUGGGGCUUCCAAGUGAAUAAAGAAAGGUAAGAUCAUGUAUCAGAUCAUAGAAAGAAUAAUAGAAUUAUAGAAAUAUUUGAGCUGGAAGGGACCUUUAAAGGUCAUCUGGUCCAACUCCCCUGUAAUGAAGAGGGACACCUAUGGCUAGAUCAGUUUUCUCAGAGACCUGUCCAGCCAGACCUUGAAUAUCUCCAGGGAUGGGGCAUCCACCAUACCUCCGGGCAAACUGUUUCUGUUUCUCACCAUCCUUAUCAUAAAAACGUUUUCCUUACAUCCAGACAAAAUCUCCCCUAAAAGCAUCACUUACAAUUACUUAUAACUGAUUUAGGUCACACCCAUUCUGAACUCAGGUUCAAACAAAGUUUAAACUACAGGUCACUCAUGGUUCAGAAACAGUAUAAAUUCCAUUCUCCCAGAUGGGAAUUACUCCUGUUCUACUGGUAGCCAUAAUCUUCUUCCUUUCAUACUCUUAUACCAUAUUUCUUAGCACUGCCUCUGUUUGUGCAGCUAAAGACUACAAAAUGUCCAUAUGGCAUCCAACACAUGCUUAAGAAACAUUAUUUCCAUGGACAUGGUUUAGUGGGUGAUGGGUUGGAGGUUGGAUGUGUUGAUCUUAGUGGUGUUUUCCAACCUUAAUGAUUCUAUGAUUCUAUGGUUUAUGGACAUAUCUCUCAUUAAAGGUAUGACUUUAGGUAUUUUCAGUGAGUGGUCACAUCUUCACUAUAUUCCAGGAUGGAUUUAAGGGGAUGAUAAAGAUUUAUUGUUCCUAGCAUGAUUCAAAAUGUGGUCAUAGGAUGGGUCUUUUAACCUGAAACACCAUUUUAAUGGACACCUUUACAUGGAUUAUGUUGCAGUACUUCAGUUAAUGAAUGCAGAGGAAGAUCAGGCCAAAAAACUGCACAAGUGGAAAAGACAUUGUGGUUUGGAGGGAGAAAAAAGUGCUUUUAUACCUGGGCUUCAUACAAAACUAUGGGACGAUUUGGAUAUUUUCAUUUCAGAUUCUGGCUGGAAAAUUAAGUCAGCUUCACUGGGAGCAAGACAAACACAUUCUCUACUUUGGAGGAGCAUAUGUGAACAUUAGUGAACUACAAGCUGAAAUAGCUGGUGAGUAGGAGGAGAGAUUUGAGUACCAGCAACUGGAGCAAAGCCAUGAACCGCCAGGACUCAAAUAUCCAGGUGACAGCAACUGGGAAGACCUAGGGAUUUGAGAGCCUGCUACUGGAUAUGAUAUCUAAGAGCAGUUUCUGGAAAAAAGAAAAUGAUGAUUUUGUUUAUGUGCCUAUUCCUAUAGCAACUUUAAGCCUUAUCAGCUGGACACAAAGAACAAGAUGAGGCCAUUUGUUCUAUUCAUGUUUCUGGGAGUGCUAUGUGUUUAGAUGGAUGCUGGAAGAGCAUUAUUUUCUGUAUUUAUCUGUGUGACUGGUCAUGCAUACAAAUAUAUUCAUAGAAAUGCCUAUCUGUAUAUAGAUAUAUAAAAUACACUGGGGUGGGAACACCCCUAUGGAAAAUGUGCUCAGCUUCACUACUGGCUGUUCCUGGGGACACAGAACCACAGCAACCCUUCCUGGGUUACUGGAUUACUGGAUGUAACAGCUUCUAACAGACCAUAAACUAACUUAAGAGAUAAUAAAAGUGCUUCUUAGCAGUCUGGAGGAGGCA
ensembl:lncRNA